CUAGACCAGGGGGAGGCAACCUACGGCACUAGUGCCAUGCACGGCACUCGAGGUGCCUUUGCACGGCACUCAAGGCUGCUAGAGCCAAACCGGUUCUGGCCUAUCAGGAGUCCCAGUAAAACAUCAGAUAUCUGCUAAUACGAAGAGGUGGUGAAGGACAAUCCUCAAUUUAUGCAUUGCAGCAAGUAGAGGAAGUGAUCUCAGAGCACUUUAUUCCAACACUUGUGAAUGGGAAUCCACACAGUAUUAGAGCAGCUCGCAGUUGUUGUUGCAGCUCUUGUCCUUGACCUGUACCUGGCUGGCCUGGUCCCCACUGGAACCCAGGGAAGCCACCCACGCUGCUUGAUAAACACACAAAUGCAGAAUAACCCUCCCCUCAUACAAAUAAUAUGGACAGCCCACACACAAUCCGCACAAACGCAACACCACUAACAAUCCACAUACAUGCACACAACCCCACAUGCAG